GUGCCAGCAGCCGCGGUAAUACGUAGGGCGCAAGCGUUGUCCGGAAUUAUUGGGCGUAAAGGGCUCGUAGGUGGUUUGUCGCGUCUGGUGUGAAAUCUCAAGGCUCAACCUUGAGCUUGCAUCGGGUACGGGCAGACUAGAGUGCGGUAGGGGAGACUGGAAUUCCUGGUGUAGCGGUGGAAUGCGCAGAUAUCAGGAGGAACACCGAUGGCGAAGGCAGGUCUCUGGGCCGCAACUGACACUGAGGAGCGAAAGCAUGGGGAGCGAACAGGAUUAGAUACCCUGGUAGUCCAUGCCGUAAACGUUGGGCACUAGGUGUGGGACUCAUUCCACGAGUUCCGUGCCGCAGCUAACGCAUUAAGUGCCCCGCCUGGGGAGUACGGCCGCAAGGCUAAAACUCAAAGGAAUUGACGGGGGCCCGCACAAGCGGCGGAGCAUGCGGAUUAAUUCGAUGCAACGCGAAGAACCUUACCAAGGCUUGACAUACACCGGAAACUGCCAGAGAUGGUGGCCUCUUCGGACUGGUGUACAGGUGGUGCAUGGUUGUCGUCAGCUCGUGUCGUGAGAUGUUGGGUUAAGUCCCGCAACGAGCGCAACCCUUGUCCUAUGUUGCCAGCGGGUUAUGCCGGGGACUCAUGGGAGACUGCCGGGGUCAACUCGGAGGAAGGUGGGGACGACGUCAAAUCAUCAUGCCCCUUAUGUCUUGGGCUUCACGCAUGCUACAAUGGCCGGUACAAAGGGCUGCGAUACCGUAAGGUGGAGCGAAUCCCAAAAAGCCGGUCNCAGUUCGGAUUGGGGUCUGCAACUCGACCCCAUGAAGUCGGAGUCGCUAGUAAUCGCAGAUCAGCAACGCUGCGGUGAAUACGUUCCCGGGCCUUGUACACACCGCCCGU
rnacentral:rRNA from 1 species